CAUUAAAGUCGAGUUGGCUUAGGGAUACGUUCGUUGGGUAGGGGAGCGUUCUGUAAGCCUGUGAAGGUGUGUCGUGAGGCAUGCUGGAGGUAUCAGAAGUGCGAAUGCUGACAUAAGUAACGAUAAAGCGGGUGAAAAGCCCGCUCGCCGGAAGACCAAGGGUUCCUGUCCAACGUUAAUCGGGGCAGGGUGAGUCGACCCCUAAGGCGAGGCCGAAAGGCGUAGUCGAUGGGAAACGGGUUAAUAUUCCCGUACUUGGUGUUACUGCGAAGGGGGGACGGAGAAGGCUAUGUUGGCCGGGCGACGGUUGUCCCGGUUUAAGCGUGUAGGUGUGUGUUCCAGGUAAAUCCGGUUCACUUUAACACUGAGGCGUGACGACGAGGCACUACGGUGCUGAAGCAACAAAUGCCCUGCUUCCAGGAAAAGCCUCUAAGCAUCAGGUAACACGAAAUCGUACCCCAAACCGACACAGGUGGUCAGGUAGAGAAUACCAAGGCGCUUGAGAGAACUCGGGUGAAGGAACUAGGCAAAAUGGUGCCGUAACUUCGGGAGAAGGCACGCUGACACGUAGGUGAAGUGAUUUACUCAUGGAGCUGAAGUCAGUCGAAGAUACCAGCUGGCUGCAACUGUUUAUUAAAAACACAGCACUGUGCAAACACGAAAGUGGACGUAUACGGUGUGACGCCUGCCCGGUGCCGGAAGGUUAAUUGAUGGGGUCAGCGCAAGCGAAGCUCCUGAUCGAAGCCCCGGUAAACGGCGGCCGUAACUAUAACGGUCCUAAGGUAGCGAAAUUCCUUGUCGGGUAAGUUCCGACCUGCACGAAUGGCGUAAUGAUGGCCAGGCUGUCUCCACCCGAGACUCAGUGAAAUUGAACUCGCUGUGAAGAUGCAGUGUACCCGCGGCAAGACGGAAAGACCCCGUGAACCUUUACUAUAGCUUGACACUGAACAUUGAGCCUUGAUGUGUAGGAUAGGUGGGAGGCUUUGAAGUGUGGACGCCAGUCUGCAUGGAGCCGACCUUGAAAUACCACCCUUUAAUGUUUGAUGUUCUAACGUGGACCCGUAAUCCGGGUUGCGGACAGUGUCUGGUGGGUAGUUUGACUGGGGCGGUCUCCUCCUAAAGAGUAACGGAGGAGCACGAAGGUUGGCUAAUCCUGGUCGGACAUCAGGAGGUUAGUGCAAUGGCAUAAGCCAGCUUGACUGCGAGCGUGACGGCGCGAGCAGGUGCGAAAGCAGGUCAUAGUGAUCCGGUGGUUCUGAAUGGAAGGGCCAUCGCUCAACGGAUAAAAGGUACUCCGGGGAUAACAGGCUGAUACCGCCCAAGAGUUCAUAUCGACGGCGGUGUUUGGCACCUCGAUGUCGGCUCAUCACAUCCUGGGGCUGAAGUAGGUCCCAAGGGUAUGGCUGUUCGCCAUUUAAAGUGGUACGCGAGCUGGGUUUAGAACGUCGUGAGACAGUUCGGUCCCUAUCUGCCGUGGGCGCUGGAGAACUGAGGGGGGCUGCUCCUAGUACGAGAGGACCGGAGUGGACGCAUCACUGGUGUUCGGGUUGUCAUGCCAAUGGCACUGCCCGGUAGCUAAAUGCGGAAGAGAUAAGUGCUGAAAGCAUCUAAGCACGAAACUUGCCCCGAGAUGAGUUCUCCCUGAGACUUUAGGUCUCCUGAAGGAACGUUGAAGACGACGACGUUGAUAGGCCGGGUGUGUAAGCGCAGCGAUGCGUUGAGCUAACCGGUACUAAUGAACCGUGAGGCUUAACCUUACAAC
rnacentral:rRNA from 1 species